rnacentral:ncRNA from 2 species
GAAAAGCAUAAUAGAGAAGCUGGUUAAAUGCCAGCACGGUCCCGCCACUGUAUGGUCGAGCGAGUCUAAAUUAAGUCACUGGGAAACUGGGAAGCUAGAUAAGCGAUGACGCCGAGUCAGGAGAACUGCCUAUUCAA